rnacentral:rRNA from 1 species
UACGUAGGGGGCGAGCGUUACCCGGAUUCACUGGGCGUAAAGCGGGUGUAGGCGGCUCGGUAAGUCGGGUGUGAAAUCCCACAGCUCAACUGUGGAAUUGCGCCCGAAACUGCUGAGCUUGGGGCCGGUAGAGGGAGACGGAACUGCCGGUGUAGGGGUGAAAUCCGUAGAUAUCGGCAGGAACGCCGGUGGGGAAGCCGGUCUCCUGGGCCGCGCCCGACGCUGAGGCACGAAAGCUAGGGGAGCGAACCGG